GCUGACAAGCUGACUCAGUGGGUUGGCAAAGAUCGGGAGUCCUGUGUCACCCUGCUCAACUUGACUCAGGGUUCUCACUCCUCAGAGCUUCUGUGUCCUCUUCAGCAAAAUGAGUAAUAACAUUUGCUAGUAUUCAAAAUGGGAUGGUGAUGAGACUGCUAUUUGUUUCACACAGCACUGUUUAACCCGAGAGGAUUCAAUGAGUAAAUAAAGUGCUGAGCUCUACCACUGAGCAGCAGAAGCCAGACACAACACAGAGCCCCCCCGGGGCCACCGAGUCUGACUUUCAUCACAUUUUUCUACUUCUGAAAUUAUUUUCUCAUUAAAACUUUUGCUAAAUUCAAACAUACACUCAGAAAAGUACACAAACCAUAAGUGCGUGGCUCGAUAGUCACAAAGUGACACCGUGGUGAAACCACCAUGCAGAUCAAGAAAAGGAUGGCCAGCACCCCAGAAAUCUUCCCUCUGGCCCCUUUCCGUCAUGAACCCCCAGCAAGAGCAAGAAGCUGCACUCUGGACACCAUAGCCUUUGGCCUGGAAGGUCCUCUCUUGUCUUCCUUAUUUUGAAGGAUUGCUCAUCCUUCAAGACUCAGUUCAAGCAUCCCCUCCAGGAAGCCCUCCUGAUUUCCUCCUCAAGCGGCAUUAGUCCUCUUCUCCAGUUCCCACAGCCUUUGUGCACUCCUCACUCUCCAUCUUGGCCUGUGAUGCCUGUGGACACCUCUGUGGAGAGGAUCGUUUCUCCUGCCUCUCCUCGUGCUGUGCUCGUGAAGGUCGGGCAAUGGGACAAUGAGGCUCCUUCCUGCUGGGAGUUCCCGCUGUAGGUGCACACGUUGGGGGAUCCUAGAGGGCAGUGAUGAUGGCCUGCUCUUGUGUGACUCUGUACCGGCUCAGAGUAACAGACAGAAGGCUGCAGGGAGAAUUCACUGAAUGGAGGAAGAGGAGAGGUGCUGUCACCUGCUGAGCUGAGGAGGAAGGCAGCGCAAAUGUCCUCAUGUAAAGCUGUGCCUGUCUUCAGGCAUGUGGACCCAUCGGCCACCAUCUCAGCAGAACUGCCUAAUUAAAGCAAAAAUCUCUCUGUGAAAAGAUGUCCUGGCCCUAAUGGACGGUCCCAUAACCUGGACAGUACAUCUAAGACAGGAGAAAGCAGAGGAGGAGCAGGAGAAAAGAGAGACACUUGGAAGUUCCUUGAAAGAGGAGGGGACCCGUUGUGAAGUGUUGGGGAGAUGCAGGAGCCAGGCUGUAGGUCAAAAAAGGCCUCGAGCUGGGUUCUGGAGGUGAGUUCUGGAGGAGGAUAUAACCACAAGAGCAGUGGGUGGGAAGUGUCAUUCCAGAGA